rnacentral:lncRNA from 10 species
CCGCAGCGUUCGCUGAACUCAACCCGCGGGUAGGACGGAGCUCAGACCAGCUGAACCUCUUGUUGGUUUUAUACUGAGUCGACGUCAUCCUGGAUUUAGUUCCUGGUAAUAUGCAGAUGACAAACAGAACCAGAUUUGGCCCUUUCUUUUCCUUUGGGUGGGGGAAGAGGGUUGGGGGGAGGGGGAGAGGUGCCAAGGGGAGGGGGUUACAAGGCCUGAAAAGAGAUUGUGGAUUGCGAAUUAAUGAAAUUAACCUAAUCUUUUCCAUUCGGCAGCCGGGCCGCGGGCCGGCCGAGCUGGGCGGGCGGCCUAAUUGCCUUGGUUAAUCUCAUUAAUUCCUUUGUGCCGCCGCAGUUAACAACUCCCUCCGCCCGAGCUCUCCACCCCCACCCUUUUUUCUCAGAUUGGGUCCUAUUAUUGGGUGCGAUUUCCUCUGCCUGUAGCUCAAAUUCAUUGUGGACGAUUUUACUUUGGGGCUACUUUUUUCCCCCUUUCGGAAUUGGUUUUGUUUUAGAAAAUGUGAGGGGCUGCAUCCCCUCUCAAGCAGGAUUGAAAAUUCCACCACUCCUCCGCGCCCCCACGUACUCACCGCCUGAUUUACCUCUUUUUUAAAUCUUGAGUUUCUCUCCCGAAUGGAACUUGUUAACCCCCCCAAAAAACUUUUGGUUUUGUAAAAUCCAAAUUUUGUAAAGGCAAAAACGACUAAAGGAGGGGUGCAUCGUGCUUCUUAAAAAGAUUUUUUUUUCCAGCCACUCUGGGUCUGAAAACUACCAUGGCAGUCCCUAGGUCCUACACAGCGAAGACCAAAUUCAGCCGCUCUUUAAAAUUCGCCACCAAGAGUUGCAGUCUGAAGCGGUGCUUCUAGCUGCUCCCAGCGUGGGUGUCGGUAGUUUUUGUGCUUUUAAAAAAUUAGUUUUGGAAAUGUGGUGCCUUCUCUCCCAAACUAUUUUUUUGAUUUUCAAUCCAGAUGGGGUCUUUGGGACUUCCCUAUCUUCUUCCCCAAUAAUUGGGUCGCAUUUUUCCUUACGACCUGCUGGCUGCCGGUAGGCCUGCCCUUCCGCCUGGCAGGCCCAGAGUGGAUUCCCUGGGCCGCAGUGGCCUGGACGAUGGCCGGGUCUGAUAGCGGCAGGCGGCCGCGAUGAUUUGCGGGAUUCUCGGCAUGGCACGGCCAGCCUGCCCGAGCCACGGGAGGCGCAGCCAGCCCACCACUCACGGCAAGCAGGCGGCCGAGCGCCCUUCGAGAAGGCUAAUUAACCAAGGGACCCCGCAAAGUUGUCUGAAGUCGCCGCCGUAAGGCUAAGUAAGUGGGCUGCCCACUCCCCGGCUCAGGGGCAAAGGGGAAAGCCCACUUGUCAAUUUCUGUUCGGGUUUCAAAGAGCCAUUGCACGGAGGUUUAGUCCUGUCCGAGGGCACUACUGUGGCGGCGCGCAGAAGCGGCCCAGUGGAGCCAGGCGGCGACGUUUCUCCUCCUAGGCCUCCCAGCGUGGACCUCUGUGUCCUCACGGCCACCAGCUUGUGGCCUGAGAGUUGCUCCUUCCAGUGCUGCGCAAACUAGAGGUGGUUGUAAAUGGGGAUUAGGACAUGACGGAGAUGGGUCUCAAUUUGGGGAAGUGAAUAGAGUUUUCCUUUUUUUCUUUUUUAACAAUAAAAACAAAGAGGGAGUGUGACCCUCCCCUUAGAGAGGUCAGGUCUAGGGUAAGAAGUGAGGCACCUUCCAUCUCCCACUGACUAGGAUGAAGUCUUUUUUAUUGUUGUUCCGUUCUCAGAGACUUAAGUCACCAUGCUCCAGGGCAGAUACUCCCCCACCAAUCUUUCCCAGGUUUAAAGCUACAGGGCAGUUGAUGGACGACAACUAGAGGCUGCAACUUAUCAGUGACUGCCUGCGUUUGUGUUGGAGGCUGGGUGUGCGCUGCGGUGCGCGUGUGAGUGGAUCUUUUAAGACCUUUGUCUGAGCCGGGCAGAGGCACAAGUGCCACCUGACGCUUGGGGCAGAUUCCUCGUCCUGUUCUUGCAAAGAUGCCAAAUCAGGAGAGUGUCAAGAUUUCAACCGCAGACCUAAAAAAAGUGUCUCCAUGUUUUUAAAAGUAUCAGACAACCACCUCCACACACCCCUCCGUCUCCCCUUCCACCUGGAACAUUGUUCUUUUUAAUAACCAGGUUUAGCAAACUGCUAUACUGCGCCUGUGCUUUCCUGCAGCCCUCCGCUGUACCAGCUGAGCCCUGUACAGAAUCUGAGCGUCAGAGUUGCAGACCCAACCUUGCCACCUUGCAAAUCAUCCCUUCUCUGGAGGCCUCAGGAUUUUAGUUGAUCAAACCAACACCAACAUUCAUUGGGUCCCUUUGCAACCCUAACAUUUAAUGAGACUUGGUAAUUGUCAUCCGUUCGCCAAGGAGGUUGGGGAUGAACUUGGGGGCAUUUUCUUGUUUAUUUUUCAUUGAGACAAAGGAGUGUGCUGUCCCCACCUCCGCCCCCAGACAAGGACAGGGUUCCUACAUCAGCUGGGUCUAAAAUAAGGAAAAGCGAGUGCUGCCGCAGAGGGGACUUUCCGGGAAGGGGGUCACAGGAACCCCAAGGCCACACAGCUCCAGACACUCUGCCGGAGCUCUAGGGGAGCUCACCCCUGCGCGGCGGGACCUCCCCCAUCGGGUUGCCCCUUCAAUCUGCAGCCGCGCGGAGGCAGGCCCCGGGAAAGGCAGUCGGCGCUCGGUGCUCGCACUGCGCCUCGGCGGGCGGAAACUCACAAGUGUCCUCAACGUGCUAAACAAACCAUCAGGGCCCCGCAUCGCCUGGCGCAAUUGGAAUAACAAAUGCGACGCACGCAAAUUGUCCACCUCGUGUUGCUAAGCGAUUGUUUGUCGGCCCCGCACGCACAGCUCAGCAUGGGAGGACCGCGAGCGUCCAGAGGCAGCCGGCGAGCGCUUAGGUCGGAAAUGCAGUAAACAUGCCGCUGAUUUUCCCUAUUAUCACCCAAACACGAUUUCACACAAAGCAAUCACCACGCAGAAGUCUAUGAAAAUGUGUUUGUUGAGGAGUCACUCGCCCCAGUAAUAGUCCUCAUUUUUAAGAUAUUAAAGAAUAGCUCAGCGGAUUCCACAUGCAUAAGGUCUAUUUGCCGUUCGGCAUCUGUCACGGCGCUUUUGCACUGCGGUCAUCACUAAAUUGAUUCAUAGAGUGUAGAUUAAAUUGCUUCUCUGAUUUAAAACAGUGUCCAACUUUGGAGUAUGCGUGUGAGUAUCUUCUCCCGCCCCAAGGUAUUUUUGUCAGGGAGAAAACUGUCGCCCCACUAUCCUUACACCCCAUUCCGCAUAACUGUAAAAAAAUAAUGCAUCUUCGACCCCAACUUCUUACGGUUCGUUUCAGGAACUUUCUUAAUUCUCUCCGUCUCCUGCCCGGCCACAGAGCAGAGUUCACAAUCGGAUGCGUUUAAGUCGGAUUUUUCGUGUCAUGUGCAAAAAGCCGGUGUGUCCUUUUCAAGGUACGGAGCCCUCAUCGGAGGGCGCAUUAGCGGGGUCAGAGGAAUUAGGAGCAAUGCGCAGAGCCCCCUGCAGCCCGCGUGCUGCGCCGAGACCUCAGCCGUCCUCACUGAGCGGAAUGGUUGUGUUGUUUGUAUUGGGACUUUUAAAAAAUCCAGUCUCAAAGCUAAGUGCUCAAACCCCGUUCCAUGGCUCUGCUGCUUUCUGGAGGACAUCUCCGGUAGCCCCAGGGGAUUGUCCGUGUGAGGUUGGGUGGGUGGAGUAGAGCCAGAGGCGCAAAUGCCUCCUGGCUAAGGGGCAGCGCGCAUUAGAGCUGGGUCUCCUGCUUUCGGAGCGGAGGGCGUAAGGGAGCUUUCUAGCUGAUUUUUUGCUAGAAGUUUUCCAACGCUCCAAAUAAAAGCACCCGAUCCCCUAAGGACGAAAUAAUCAAGGUGUUAGGGAAGCUCAACAGAAGAGAAGAGACGAGAAGAGAAGAGAAGAGAAGAAGGGGCUAUCGAAAAAUGACGUGUUCCCAAGGCCUUAGAAAAAUAAAUAAAUAAAUAAAUAAAUAAAUAAAUAGCUUGGACUUUCCGGGGUUGCAGAAAUCCGAUUUCAGCCGGGCUAUUUACCAAAAUUUGUUUCAAAAUGACUGCACCUUUGCUUUUGCAAGUCACAGAAUGCAAAUGACGAUAAUUUGUUCUCAGAAGAAGUUUCUCUUGAAAUGAUUAGCAAAGUCAGUCAUUUGAAAAUUAGAACGAAGCCCUUCGCUAACUGAUAUCUGCUUCUAAAGUUUUCAUUCAUGUAAACCUCAUUAAUGAAGAUCUUUUAUUUAAACGUCAAGGGGAUUUGAAAUUUAGAGUAAAUUAUGAAGCUUGUAUGUCUAGCCAAGUCAUGGGUCAAAUGCAUUUGUGAAAAACUGCUAAAGAGCAUAUGGUUUUGAAUUUUUCUACAAUGACUAGUGUUUAAAUAAAUUGCUUGUACUGCUUAACUUCAUGUGUAAUUUUGACAGAAAUUGGCCUAUAGCCUUUUGAUAUGUAAACAUUUCAGCCUUUUAUGCGGUAUAAAAAAGACACUUGCUUUUUAGGAUCAGCCCAGGCAGUCACCCUGUAAUUCAGAAAGCUGGUACCUACCAUUACAAUCUUGCUAGAUUUCAACUUUCAAGUGGCAGCCUCAGGGGGAGAAAAAAAGAAAAGAAAGAAAGGGGAUAUUUCAAAAGCAAUGUCCAUUUGGGAUUAAAAGCUACAAAUGAGGUGAGAACGUGCCACUUACUAUCUGAAAGAAAUGGAUAAACCAUAGUUAUUAAAGAACAUUUCUGUCAGUUUUCUUUAAGCCAGCCCGUCUGAGGGGACACUUAAGCAGGGCUGGGAACUGACUAGCAUGCCAUUAAAUGCUUGUCUUAGGGCCGAGCUAAUCAGUCCAACACACAAAUAGGUGUUAAAAAUCUAGGUAUCAUUUCAGGAUGUUACCAGGGAAAUCGCUCUGUGUCACAGAACCCAUUAAGAUGCAAAACUCAUCCAGGGCACAGAAUGGCUGGACACAAAUGGCUCAUAUGAGCCAUGCACGGGGGUUUUUCUCCGUGGGAACUGCAAAGUCCGUGCAGGGCACAGUUCAGAGCCCUCCCUGGGCUGCCAGGGUUUUUGAAACACAUACAUACCUGCAUAAACCCAUUUGUUGCUAAUAUAUCCGUCUCCCGUAAAUAAGCCAAGGAAUGUGGAUUGGACUGCGGGUCACCAAUGGGGAUUCAAAGCGUCCCAUAAGGUUGCCCUCCCAAGUGCGAGACCGGGCCACACGUUGAUUUCCUGCGUACUCUGGUGGGGCGAGCGCUGCUCCUUCCCAUCUGCUCUCACAGUCUUGCCGUAUUUAUCCUAUGUGUCAGUUUUGUCAUAUACAGACUUUCUGAGAGACGCCACCCCUUUUGUGAAGUUUUGAAGGAACUGGGGAGAAAGAAUGCUCACUUGACAAGGGAGACCAGUUCCUUUGUAAACAGUUGAGCCGCCUGAGCAAAUUGAGAUCCUCUUAAUUAAAAAGAUCAUUCUGGGGCGAAAUCUAAUUAAGAAAAAAAGACACGCUGAGAAAGACAGAAGGAGGUGUUUUGUUUACAUUUCUUAUGCAUUCCAGCUUAUCAUAUUGGUCAGCAAUCUGGGAAGGAAAUGACACAUUUGAUGAUGUAAGAAAAGCAGAAGGCUUUUUUUUUUCUAAGCUUCUACACUUCAGUCUAGCCUUUCAGUACAUUUUGAAAUGAAUAAGGGUACACUUUUCC